ACGAACAGUUGGAAACGACUGCUAAUACCGCAUACGAUCUAAUCUCGGCAUCGAGGAUAGAUGAAAGGUGGCCUCUACAUGUAAGCUAUCACUGAAGGAGGGGAUUGCGUCUGAUUAGCUAGUUGGAGGGGCAACGGCCCACCAAGGCGAUGAUCAGUAGCCGGUCUGAGAGGAUGAACGGCCACAUUGGGACUGAGACACGGCCCAG
rnacentral:rRNA from 1 species